UCUAAGCCAUGCGAGUCGUUGUAGCAAUACAAGGCAGACGGCUCAGUAACACGUAGUCAAUCUACCCUAUGGACGGGGAUAACCUCGGGAAACUGAGAAUAAUACCCGAUAGAUCAUAAUUCCUGGAAUGGUUUAUGAUUGAAAUGAUUUAUCGCUGUAGGAUGGGACUGCGGCCUAUCAGCUUGUUGGUGAGGUAAUGGCCCACCAAGGCUAUAACAGGUACGGGCUCUGAGAGGAGAAGCCCGGAGAUGGGUACUGAGACACGGACCCAGGCCCUAUGGGGCGCAGCAGGCGAGAAAACUUUGCAAUGUGCGAAAGCACGACAAGGUUAAUCCGAGUGGUUUCUGCUAAAGAAACCUUUUGUCAGUCCUAGAAACACUAACGAAUAAGGGGUGGGCAAGUUCUGGUGUCAGCCGCCGCGGUAAAACCAGCACCUCAAGUGGUCAGGAUGAUUAUUGGGCCUAAAGCAUCCGUAGCUCGUUUUGUAAGUUUUCGGUUAAAUCCAUGCGCUUAACGUAUGGGCUGCCGGGAAUACUGCAUAACUAGGAAGUGGGAGAGGUAGACGGUACUCGGUAGGAAGGGGUAAAAUCCUUUGAUCUAUUGAUGACCACCUGUGGCGAAGGCGGUCUACCAGAACACGUUCGACGGUGAGGGAUGAAAGCUGGGGGAGCAAACCGGAUUAGAUACCCGGGUAGUCCCAGCUGUAAACUAUGCAAACUCAGUGAUGCAUUGGCUUGUGGCCAAUGCAGUGCUGCAGGGAAGCCGUUAAGUUUGCCGCCUGGGAAGUACGUACGCAAGUAUGAAACUUAAAGGAAUUGGCGGGGGAGCACCACAAGGGGUGAAGCCUGCGGUUCAAUUGGAUUC
rnacentral:rRNA from 1 species